rnacentral:rRNA from 1 species
GAUGAACGCUGGCGGCGUGCCUAAUACAUGCAAGUCGAGCGAACGGACGAGAAGCUUGCUUCUCUGAUGUUAGCGGCGGACGGGUGAGUAACACGUGGAUAACCUACCUAUACGACUGGGAUAACUUCGGGAAACCGGAGCUAAUACCGGAUAAUAUUUUGAACCGCAUGGUUCAGAAGUGAAAGACGGUCUUGCUGUCACUUAUAGAUGGAUCCGCGCUGCAUUAGCUAGUUGGUAAGGUAACGGCUUACCAAGGCAACGAUGCAUAGCCGACCUGAGAGGGUGAUCGGCCACACUGGAACUGAGACACGGUCCAGACUCCUACGGGAGGCAGCAGUAGGGAAUCUUCCGCAAUGGGCGAAAGCCUGACGGAGCAACGCCGCGUGAGUGAUGAAGGUCUUCGGAUCGUAAAACUCUGUUAUUAGGGAAGAACAUAUGUGUAAGUAACUGUGCACAUCUUGACGGUACCUAAUCAGAAAGCCACGGCUAACUACGUG